AGAAAGUAUACAUUUGUAAAAUGCAAUUUAUAAACAAUGCAAUUGAAUGCAUAAUCUCCUUUUAUACUACCUGUGAGCGAAACACAGCUUUCCUUCAGCAGGUACUAUAGCCUCACAUUUAACACAUAUUUUGCAGUGCACACACUGGUGGUCGCUGGAGACACACACAAUCCCAUCCCAACGUUGUUGUCAGCAAGUUUGGUUUUGAUCGUCACUCGGACAGAACAGUGAUUCUUUUACCCAGAACAAAUUGUACAAAGUCUUCAAAUCAAAAGCCGUCACUCUUAGAAAAAAACACUGUCAUCAAACUCCAAUGUCCAUCUGGGGAUUUCUCUGUUUGAAAAUCCUGCUUCACAACCACGUUGGCAAAAGGCAAUGUGCCUUUUUUUUUUUACCUGGAACAGGAAAUGUUACAGUAUUCAAAGUACCUGAAAUGUCAUCAAUAGUUACAUUGGUACACUUAAUCAUAGGGUUCAUUCAAUCAACAACAUCCUCUUCUGUGAUAGGCUACAAAUCAAAGACUCCCUGUGAAAGUCAUAUUGGAAUCUUCCUAAGUAGAGAGAGUCAAUGAGAGGAAGUUCUCCCUAAUUGUGUAGUACUAAAUGUGGACACAGCUCUCGGCAUAAUAAAUCCAUUAAGGCAGAUAGCAGAUGUCAGAAGAGGAUAAUGAGAACCAUAACAAUUGUCAGCUUGAUUGAUUGGUCGUGUCUUCUUAAGGCCUCUAAUUUGUCGGCUGUGUGUUUUGACAUUCAGUGCCAAGGCUGCAACCAACGAUGAAAAAUUAUAGUACAACAUGAAUGUCAAUUCAGACAGCACACUUUCCAACGGCAUUGUGUUUGGGGCUAUUGUGACCAACUGAAGAGUGGCAGGCCUCCUCCACCUUUCACCACAGCAGGUUGGAACCAACUUACAUAUAUUUGUUUUAGACCAAUAUGGUCUCAAAGGUUCCUUCAAAAACAGGCCCAGUUGCGUAGGACGUGACAAAGAUUCAAACGACUCUCCAGUGGACACUGGAAGCCAAACCAGAUUAGAUAAUAGAUAAAAUCCUCUUCCUAGUUGUACCAUCUUGUUCUUCUCAGUCCCCCUCAAAAUGUCUUCAUGGUAUAGAUAGUGUUUGAGAACACAUAACAGAUAGUGUUUGAGGACUCAGAACAUAGAUUAGUGUUAAAUAAAUACAUCAGUAGUCCAGGGCAUUACAAAAAUGACAAAAAGAGACAUUUCCGACGCGUGUCUACAAAACAUGAUAUGCUGUAAUUAAUAAUAUAGAUAAACUGCAAAAAGAUAAUGCUUAUCAAAAAGUGUGCGUCAGUGGUCUACAGGCUUUUGCCUUUUUGAUCCACUGAUGCACUGAUCAUAAAGUCUAUCGGAUUCAGUCUUCUUGUAUCCAAACUCGCGUACAUGCGUAUGCGUUUGAAUCAGAAAUUCUGUCUAUGUCAAAAGGUCAGGAUACACAACCUACGCUUCCCAGGCGAAGAAAAUUACGGUUCGGACAUGGAAUAAGGGUUGAAAUCGAGAUGUUAGAUGCACAAGAGGUUGUGUAAUCCAAUAUCAAUCAGUUGCUAUAUUUCCUAAAUUACAUUUUGUUUUGCUUGCAUUAAGGAUGGUUUGAACGGAUGAAAAACAUGCCGUGAAUUCCGAAUUGGUAUGUAAUUUUCACUACCUCAUAAACUUAAACAAAUUUCUUAAACGACAAUAGAUAGUAAUAUAAUAAUAAUAAUAAUAAUAAUAAUAAUGAUAAUAAAAAUAAUAAUAAUAAUAAUAAAAAUAAUAAUAAUAAUAAUAAUAAUAAUAAUAAUAA
ensembl:lncRNA